CCCUUAGAUGUUCUGGGCCGCACGCGCGCUACAAUGAUGAAUCCAACGAGUUUAUAACCUUGGUUGAAAAGCCUGGGUAAUCUUUUGAACUUUCGUCGUGAUGGGGCUAGACCCUUGCAAUUAUUGGUCUCCAACGAGGAAUUCCUAGUAAACGCAAGUCAUCAGCUUGCAUUGAUUACGUCCCUGCCCUUUGUACACACCGCCCGUCGCACCUACCGAUUGAAUGGUCCGGUGAAAUCUUCGGAUUGAGACUUUGAUUUCUUCACGGAAAACGCUGUUUUAAAAAGUUGAUUAAACCUUACCAUUUAGAGGAAGGUGAAGUCGUAACA
rnacentral:rRNA from 1 species